rnacentral:rRNA from 1 species
UUUUUGGUUUGGUAAUUGGAAUGAGAACAAUUUAAAUCCCUUAUCGAGGAGCCAUUGGAGGGCAAGUCUGGUGCCAGCAGCCGCGGUAAUUCCAGCUCCAGUAGCGUAUAUUAAUAUUGCUGCAGUUAAAAAGCUCGUAGUUGGAUUUCUGGCUUUUCAUUUGUGGUUUCUUCGUACCUAUUUAUGGUAGUGUUGUAAAUCCUAAUGUAGCCAUCUUUUUCACGUACUUGGUCUACCCUUGAUUGGGAUUGGAUUACUUAGUGUGUGAAACUAUUACUUUGAAAAAAUUAGAGUGUUUCAAGCAGGCGAUUAUGCCGUUGUAUAUUAUAGCAUGGAAUAAUAAGAUAGGACUUUGGUUUUAUUUUGUUGGUGUAUGAGAACUAAAGUAAUGAUUGAUAGAGGCGAUUGGGGGUGCUUGUAUUUUUGGGUAAGCGGUGAAAUGCUUGGGUUCCAAAAAGACAAACUAAUGCGAAAGCAUUCACCAAGGACGCGCUCUUUAAUCAAGAACGAAAGUUAAGGGAUCGAAGAUGAUUAGAUACCGUCGUAGUCUUAACCAUAAACUAUGCUAACUAGAAAUAUGAGAUCGUUGUCUUUUUUUCGACAUCUCAUGCGUCUUAUGAGAAAUUAAAGUUUUUGGGCUCUGGGGGGAGUAUUGUCGCAAGGCCGAAACUUAAAGAAAUUGACGGAAGGGCACCACCAGUUGUGGAUUUUGCGGCUUAAUUUGACCCAACACGGGAAAUCUUACCAGGACAGGACAUAGUAAGGAUUGACAGAUUGAAGAUCUUUCUUGAUUCUAUGGUUAGUGGUGCAUGGCCGUUCUUAGUUGGUGGAGUGAUUUGUCUGCUUAAUUGCGUUAACGAACGAGACCUCGACGUGCUAAAUAGAGAUUGGAAUUUCUUUUAAUUCUAUAUCUACUUCUUAGACGAACUAUCUGUGCUUAGCAGAUUGAAGUGCGAGGCAAUAACAGGUCUGUUAUGCCCUUAGAUGUUCUGGGCCGCACGCGAAAUACACUGGCGUUCUCAUCAAGCUUUUUAAAUUUUUUACCUUGACAGAAAUGUCUGGGAAAUCUUCUCAAAUAACGCCGUGCUGGGGAUAGACGAUUGCAAUUAUUCGUCUUCAACGAGGAAUAUCUAGUAAACACAAGUCAUCAACUUGUAUUGAAUACGUCCCUGCCCUUUGUACACACCGCCCGUCGCUACUACUGAUUGAAUGAUUUAGUGAGUUUUGUGAAUAUUGAAAUUGGCUUUUGCUAGUUUUUCUUGAAGCAAUGCAAACUUGACUAUUUAGAGGAAGUAAAAGUCGUA